rnacentral:tRNA from 1 species
GCACCCGUAGCUCAGCUGGAUAGAGUGUCGGCUUGCGGAGCCGAAGGUCGUGUGUUCGAAUCACGCCGGGUGUACCA